CUUUCCAUGGCAACACCCUGAUGGCCGAAAGUUACUACCCUUAUUCCAGAAAUCUCUGCAUAAUCUGUCGGUUUGCAUAUAAUUAACAGUGGCUAUAAAUGUGAGUGCAGCCCUGUCCUGUCCUCAGCUGCUGCCCUGGGCGCACUGCCUUGCGGGUCACUGUGGCUGCUCCUGUGCUUCAGCGGGACUAGAAGCUGCCGCCCACGGGCAGCGGGGAAGAAAUCUGGGCAAAGCCAUGAGCCCUCCGAGGCUGAGCUCCAGUUUAGGGGCUCACCUGCCUUGCAUCGUUCCGAGUCCUGUACUGGACUGCAUCAGGCCGCGUCUCCUCAGGGUGGUACCUCUAAAUCCAAAAACUCCAAAUGUCCACCAGCUCCAGUCACAUUGGAGAUACAGCUGUGGUUUGCUCCUAAGACCCACCCAGCACACGUGAGAUGGGGAGACCUGGAUUGCAUCCCCAUGUCUGUCCCAGUGGAGAUAUCAUUGGAAAAGCUGCAGUGAUCUCUAUAAAAAUCUCAACCACCCGCUCCCAGUAGGUUCAGUGCUGCACUCUAAGAGGAGAACAGGUCUGACUCCUCAAGGAGAUGCCUCUGGUCCAGGCUUUGUAAACUUGGGCCUUCCAGCCAGAUUCCUCCGAGCUCAGUGUCCGCUGCUGCUGGGCUGAGGGGAACCCCACUCCUUCACCACCGACUCCUGCUCCUGGCUGCACCUGCCCUUCCAACAGUGUCUCCUCUCAA
rnacentral:lncRNA from 1 species